AUUGAACGCUGGCGGCAGGCCUAACACAUGCAAGUCGAACGGUAGCACAGAGAGCUUGCUCUUGGGUGACGAGUGGCGGACGGGUGAGUAAUGUCUGGGAAACUGCCUGAUGGAGGGGGAUAACUACUGGAAACGGUAGCUAAUACCGCAUAACGUCGCAAGACCAAAGAGGGGGACCUUCGGGCCUCUUGCCAUCAGAUGUGCCCAGAUGGGAUUAGCUAGUAGGUGGGGUAACGGCUCACCUAGGCGACGAUCCCUAGCUGGUCUGAGAGGAUGCCCAGCCACACUGGAACUGAGACACGGUCCAGACUCCUACGGGAGGCAGCAGUGGGGAAUAUUGCACAAUGGGCGCAAGCCUGAUGCAGCCAUGCCGCGUGUAUGAAGAAGGCCUUCGGGUUGUAAAGUACUUUCAGCGAGGAGGAAGGCGAUACGGUAAAUAACCGUGUCGAUUGACGUUACUCGCAGAAGAAGCACCGGCUAACUCCGUGCCAGCAGCCGCCGUAA
rnacentral:rRNA from 1 species